AUGGGCGACCCGGAAAGGCCGGAAGCGGCCGGGCUGGAUCAGGAUGAGAGAUCAUCUUCAGACACCAACGAAAGUGAAAUAAAGUCAAAUGAAGAGCCACUCCUAAGAAAGAGUUCUCGCCGGAGUUUUUAACAGAAGCCUUGCCAGUUGGCCUCAUUGGAAUGAAUUGCAUUUUGAUGAAACAGUACAUUGAGUUUGUAGCUGACAGAUUACUUGUGGAACUUGGAUUCUCAAAGGUUUUUCAGGCAGAAAAUCCUUUUGAUUUUAUGGAAAACAUUUCUUUAGAAGGAAAAACAAAUUUCUUUGAGAAACGAGUUUCAGAGUAUCAGCGUUUUGCAGUUAUGGCAGAAACCACAGAUAACGUCUUCACCUUGGAUGCAGAUUUUUAA
rnacentral:lncRNA from 1 species